rnacentral:misc_RNA from 1 species
UGUAGGAGCCGGCUUGCUGGCGAUGGCAUCACUGCGGUGCAUCUGCCACACCGAAGUAAGGCCAUCGCCAGCAAGCCGGCUCCUACA